rnacentral:lncRNA from 1 species
GUGUGACACCGUCCUGGGCUGUGUGUGACACCCUGUGCUGGGCAGAGUGUGACACAUUGUCCUGUACAGCCCAUGGAACUCCGUGUCCUGUCCAUCCUGUGUGCUCCAUGUACAUCAUGUCCUGUCCAUCCCUGUCCCCGUGUCCUGCCUGGCAGCACAGGGCUCACUCCAGAGCUGACGCUGCUCCUGCAGUCCCCCAGCACCCAGAGGCCUGUGAGGACAAGGGGUCACUGCAUUCCAGACUCUGAGGUGUCAUUGGGAAUUUAGAGGUGGCACAAGUAUUAACUUUUAACAGUCUUUAUUCUCGAUGUUGUAGUAUCCUUUCCUUUCGCACCACCAACUUUUUGGGCUCUCCAGAGGUUUUCAUGGAACAAGUCUGUAGUGUAAAACUAAAAGAUCAUGUUGCAACUUUGUAUAAAAACCAUCUUGCAAAACAAAGGCCUUUUUUUUCUUUGGCUUGGGACUUUUGAGACAAUUCCUAACAUACCUGUAAUUCUUGCUUUUAUAAUUUGUGUUAGCAGAGACUCUGAUGCGUUGGAAAUGUAGAUUUAAUGUGCACUCCUGUGCUUUCUGCCAAGUGGUCAUUCACUUUGGAGUUUUACUAUGUUCAACCUGUAAAUACAGCAGAACGUCAAUAAAUGUCACUUCUGUAGCA